rnacentral:lncRNA from 1 species
UGAUGAAGAGCCAAGGCUUAUUGAUGUUGAUCCAAAUCAAGAAACAAACGAAGACUCUGGCGAUGAGGAAAUACAUAGAUUACCAGAAAUUAAUUCUGACACCGAAGAAGACUCAUCGGAUGAUUCCGAUUACGAGCCUUAGUUUUAAUUUAGAGGACGUAAUAUAUUAAUUUGUAAUAAAAAAGAUUGUAUUACCUUAAUUUAUAGUUUACAUAUGUUGAAUUCAUAUUUCUGUUAUUUUAUAUGAAUUUUGGUGAUAUAUGAACAGGAAAUUAGUAUGGUUUAAACCUUCUGUUUUAGGGUUUGUAUUUUUUACUUAAGCCGACGAAAUACAACAUAAUUCAUCGGCCUAAACCAUCUUAGCCGACGAAUUAUAUUAGAAGUCGUCGGCUAAACUCGUCUUAGCCGAUGUAGAAUAUUAGAAGUCGUCGGCUAAAAGAACUUAAAGCCGACGAAUUGAAAUGGAAGUCUUCGGCUAAAAGAUCUUAUAGCCGACGAAUUGCAAUGAAAGUCGUCGGCUAAAACCAUCUAAGCCGACGAUGUAUAUUAGAAGUCGUCGGCUAAAACCAUCUUAGCCGACGAAGUAUAUUAGAAGUCGUCGACUAAAACCAUCUUAGCCGACGAAUACCCUAAUAUUUCGUCGGCUUUAUUAAUUGUUAUAUUUUUUUAUUACAUACUAUAGCCGACGAAUGAAUUAGGGUAUUCGUCGGCUAAACCCUAAACUUUUUCUGUUACAUACUAUAGCCCUAUCUUCGGUGGUUAUUUUGCGUAAAAUUUUUAUACAACUUGUUUUGUCUCAUCGAUUUGAAAAUAUUUUCAGUUGAAGGUCCGGCCAAAAUACGAAAUUUAGACGGUCCAACGACCUUUUCCGUGCAUUUAGUGGUUUGACUUACGGGAUUGACCGUCCGGAUCGAGCACUUAACCUUGUUAGAUCAAGUUGAAUUUUUUCCCAUACAUGUAUCUUAUCAUGAUAGUCAGAUCUGACCGUCGGAUUUCAUUUUCUCAAGUUUGAUCAUCACAAUCACAACAUGCCUACUAAUGUUGUAUAACUUGUUUACCAAGUGUUAAGUAAAUGUUCCGUUUCAAAAACAAACUAUAUGUAGAACCUUCAAACGUAAAAAAGUCGUGAAAUAAGACAUGACCAGAAUGGUGAAAUACGUCUACGGUUGAAAAAUCACGGUAUUCCGGUAAAGUCUCGGUGCCGAUAGUUGCGGUCAAUGCAAUUUUCCAUUUUUUCUCCCUAUGGGUAGCCCUAUCUUCGGUGGUUAUUUUGCGUAAAAUUUUUAUAGGACUUGUUGCGUCUCAUCGGUUUGAAACUAUUUUCAGUUGAAGGUUCGGCCAAAAUACGUAAUUUAGACAGUCCAAUGACCUUUUCCGUGCGUUUAGGGGUUUGAUUUAACGGAUUGACCGUUCGGAUCGAGCCCUUAACUUUGUCGGAUCAAGUUGAAUUUUUUCCCAUACAUGUAUUUUAUCAUGGUGGUCAGAUCUGACGGUCGGAUUUUCGUUCUCAAGUUUGAUCAUCACAAUCACAAUCACAGUUUGACGAAUGGUUAAUUGUUUUAAAGCCGACGAAUUUCAAAGGUUUAGCCGACGAAUUUAUUGUUUAGCCGACGAAUUUCAUAGGUUUAGCCGACGAAUUUCAAAGGUUUAGCCGACGAAUUUUAUCUUAGCCGACGAGAUUAUUAUUUUAGCCGACGAAAUUAUUAUCUUUAGCCGACGAAAUUAUUAUUUCGUCGGCUAAAGUUUUCGGGUAUAACUCGACUGGUUAAUUGUAAGCCCUAGCCUCCGCCUCCUCUCCCUCUCUGAAUUUCCCCUCCUCCGCCUCCGCUCCCUCUCCCGGUCGCCGCCCUCC